GUCCCCUUCGUCUAGAGGCCUAGGACACCGCCCUUUCACGGCGGUAACAGGGGUUCGAA
rnacentral:tRNA from 1 species